GACUAACUAAUGAGUUAUUCAAUACGUUUGCGUUUUUUUUUUCUUACCUCUGUAUCACCUUAUACAUUUGGAGUAUAGUACUACAUUUAGUUUCGGGAAUGCGACAUCAAGGACAAAGUGUGAAUGCCUGAAGUUAUAUUCCAUCCAUCGUUGAAGCUGUUGAGAAAGAAUGAGACCUUGGCUGUGUGUAAGAUUGUUGCCAUAACACGGUGAAAGAAGUAGAAGCUAUUCAAGCAAGCAUAAGUGUUAAACUAUAAUCUAAUCUCUCCU
rnacentral:lncRNA from 1 species